rnacentral:rRNA from 1 species
AUUGAACGCUGGCGGCAGGCCUAACACAUGCAAGUCGAGCGGAUGAAGGGAGCUUGCUCCUGGAUUCAGCGGCGGCCGGGUGCGUAAUGCCUAGGAAUCUGCCUGGUAGUGGGGGAUAACGUCCGGAAACGGGCGCUAAUACCGCAUACGUCCUGAGGGAGAAAGUGGGGGAUAAUCGGACCUCACGCUAUCAGCUGAGCCUAGGUCGGAUUAGCUAGUUGGUGGGGUAAAGGCCUACCAAGGCGACGAUCCGUAACUGGGCUGAGAGGAUGAUCAGUCACACUGGAACUGAGACACGGUCCAGACUCCUACGGGAGGCAGCAGUGGGGAAUAUUGGACAAUGGGCGAAAGCCUGAUCCAGCCAUGCCGCGUGUGUGAAGAAGGUCUUCGGAUUGUAAAGCACUUUAAGUUGGGAGGAAGGGCAGUAAGUUAAUACCUUGCUGUUUUGACGUUACCAACAGAAUAAGCACCGGCUAACUUCGUG